UGGGGAAUAUUGCACAAUGGGCGCAAGCCUGAUGCAGCAACGCCGCGUGAACGAUGAAGGUCUUCGGAUCGUAAAGUUCUGUUGCAGGGGAAUAUAAUGACGGUACCCUGUGAGGAAGCCCCGGCUAACUACGUGCCAGCAGCCGCGGUAAUACGUAGGGGGCUAGCGUUAUCCGGAUUUACUGGGCGUAAAGGGUGCGUAGGUGGUCUUUCAAGUCGGUGGUUAAAGGCUACGGCUCAACCGUAGUUAGCCUCCGAAACUGGAAGACUUGAGUGCAGGAGAGGAAAGUGGAAUUCCCAGUGUAGCGGUGAAAUGCGUAGAUAUUGGGAGGAACACCAGUAGCGAAGGCGGCUUUCUGGACUGCAACUGACACUGAGGAACGAAAGCGUGGGUAGCAAACAGG
rnacentral:rRNA from 1 species